rnacentral:pre_miRNA from 1 species
CGUUUCUCCGGCCUCGCCGGCUAUGACACAUAUGCAUAGUUGGAUCAUUCAAGACCAUCGAAUCCAACCAUGAUAUGUGGAAUAGUCGGCGAGCGCCUGGAGCAUUC